GGCAUCUAAUUGCUUAGAAUUAAUUAGGGAGAGCUCCCCUGGCUGAGUGGGGAAGGCAGUAUAUGGGUAUCUGAAGCGUCAUGGGUGAUGAUGCCCCAGGGGAAUGGGCACAUCUGUCCCUGGCUGCCCCUCUCCUGGGAGAUCCAGGAAAAAUGGUUAGGAAAAUUUUAUUAGGAAAACUAUUAGGAAAAACUUUCCUCAUGGAAAGGACUGUCCAGCCCUGGCACAGCUGCCCAGGGCAGUGGUAGAAUCGCCUUCCCUGGAGGGAUUUAAAAGCUGUGUGGAUGUGGCACUUGGGGACAUGGGUUGGCAGUGCUGGGGAAAGAGUUGGACUGGGUGAUCUCAGAGUUUUCCAACCUAAAUUCUGUGAUUCUGUGACCCUUGAACUCAGCAGCAAGAAAUGCUUUAUAAGGAGGUUGUUCGAAAAGCUGAAGUGAGAGCUCAAAGCUUCUCUUGCACAAGGAGGGUGGUGGAACUGUGGGGCAGGUCCUGGCUUCUGCCUUAUCCCUCCUGGCACAAAUUGUUCCCUACCUGGGGUGAGCAGAGACCCUUUAGUCUCUAACUAACCCACCGUGGUUAGUCACAGAAUCACGGAACUAAGGCUGGAAAAGAGCUCUGAGCUCAUCCCACCCAAGCAGUUAAGCCUGAGCUGGUGGCACUAAGUAGCCUGUAGUUGUCUGUGCUGCCCCACACAGUGGGGACCAUCCAGACUCAUGUUCACCAGCAUGUUUAAGGCUCCCAGCAUGAUUUUCUGUGGAUGUUUGCAGUGUUAAUCCCUUCCCCCUUGCCCUACAAGACCUGUCCAGGACCAAUGCUGGGCUCCAAACUGUGCAAAUGGGCACAAGGCAGGCUGUACCAGGGGGUGCUGAUUAUACAGCAAUUUACAGGAUGGAGCUUGGUGCCCAGGAAAUUUCCCUGGUCUUGAUUUAUUUGCUGGUAGGAAACACAUACCCAAAGCAGAAAAGGAGACUGGACCCCCUGGGAGAUUCUGAGACGUGUAGGAAUGGCAGCAGAUUGUGAUGUGCCUCUGAGCCAGACAUAUCAUUACCCUGAUUUUGCUGCUGCUGAGGGCUCCCUGCAGCCUUCAUCUCCUCUUUCUUAGCCCAAACAUCCCUUCUUGUGCGUUUUUUUUCCCUGUGUGGAGAUGCAGAGCUGGAAAAAAGAAGGAAAAAGCCCCAGUGGGAUAAGAGUUGCAGUGUUCUGUUGGGUACAUUCAGGACUGAUCUGCCGGAAGGUCAGGACAUUAAUGGUCAUCAUAGAAUCCUAGAAUGGUUUGGGUUGGAAGGGACCUUCAAGACCACUUUGUUCCAACCCCCUGCCAUGAUCAGGGACACCUUCCAUGAUCCCAGGUUGCUCCAAGCCCUGUGCAACCUGGCCUUGGACACUUCCAGGGAUGGGGCAGUCACAGCUUCUCUGGGCAACCUGUGCCAGGGCCUCACUACCCUUACAGCGAAGAAUUCCUUCCCAAUAUCCCAUCUAUCCCUGCCCUCUGGCAGUGGGAAGCCAUUUCCCCUUGUCCUGUCACUCCAGGCCCUUGUCCAAAGUCCCUCUCCAGCUCUCUUGUAUUUUCUCUCAGUGCCUGUGGUCUUGCUUUGCCUCAUCUGCACCUCUCAGCACAUCAGACCAGUUCCUCCAGCUCCUCGGUGCUGUGGGGUGAAGCCCAGAGGCUCUGCGUGUCCAAACCAGGCUCAGGGUCACCUCGGGGUUAUCACACGACUGCCUGAAAGAUGGACAAGCUCAGGGAAAUAAAAGUGCCUGCAAUGAGGGGAUGCUGAAAUUACAGGGGGUUCAGUGAUGAAAAACGAGGGUCCUGGCUCUGCACUUGAUGGGGUUGGAUAUUUUCUCCUGCUGGGGCCGUCCCGGGGGUGAGACCACUGACUGCUCCCUGCCACAGGGUCUGGGGGACCUUCUGCAGCCUGAAUACGCAGUGGGGAAAGGUGAUUUUGUGCUGCCACCUCGUGGCAUUAAAAACGUUCCCUAGAACUGUUAAAAAUUGGGCGCUGUAAGAAAUAUGUGCAAACUCACACAAGUGUAUGUGAGUGAAGUGAGAGCAGCGGGAGCCCGGAGGGGUGACACAGACACGGUCCAGGGAGUAGGUUGUUCAUCAGUGAGUUGUGUUUCCGUUCCUGGGAUGCCCUGGGAUAUCUGAGGGGCUGGCAGGAGCUGUGGGAGGCGGAGGGAAGAAGCUGGAUGAUCUCCCAUCUGUCAGAGCCCACGUGUGUGAGGUUCCCUUAGAGACUGAUUGCCCACUGCUUGGUGUCCAGGGAGUGGGUUUGGAUGAGGAGCCUCCCAUCCCCCACGGGAUUUGGGUGUCCCUUGGAGAAAUAACAGUGAUUAAUUAGGUCCUGUGUGUGAGUCCAAGAGUGAUGUGCUGGAUAUGGAGGAUUUCCUUGAGUUGCAGGGAUGUAGAAUCAUGGAAUGUUUUGGGUUGGAAGGGACCUUAAAGAUCAUCCAGUUCCAACGCCCUGGCUUGGGCAGGGACGCUUUCCACUAUCCCAGGUUGCUCCAAGCCCUGUCCAACCUGGCCAUGAACAAUUUCAGGGGUGGGCCACCCACAUAUGGGAGCUCAGGACCUUCCAGAACCUCUCUCUGGUCCCCUGCUCUUCCCUACUACAGCCUCUGGCUGGUCUGCAAGGAUAGUUGGUCACACGUGUCCGUGUGGACCAGCCUCCCUUCUCACGGACAGGUACUGGUGACAUCUCAUGAGGGGGACAAACCACAAGGGAUGAGCCACUGGUGUAGAACUACUCCAAGCCCAGGGCUCUGAUCCCAGCAAUGCCAGCUUGAUCCAAUGCAAAAAAAUCUAAAAAUCCUUUGUGAAGCACGGGGAGAGAUUUCCUAACCCUGGCUGGCCUGGUGUCUUCACGGCAGGAGGUUUGCUGUGGGUGUCUGUAAGAUGAGGGGCAUGAGUGGGAGAGCAGCAAUAAAACGAGGAAUUAUGUUGGGAGGAGGAGGAACAGCUUCACUUUUCUCACGGGCAGUGUGGCCCUGGGCAAGGUGGCUGCCAAAGAGCAAUUUGUCAGGAAUUUGGCAACUGGGCAUUGCCAAGUGGAAAAGCAGCAGCACAGGCAGGGAUUCAAGGGAUGGAGAAGUUGAUUUAUAAGGGGAGAGACUAAAAAAAAAAUAAAAAUAAAAAUAGCAGAGCUAAAUACGUCACGUUUGGCUGGGCAGCAGGUGAGGGCUGAGCCAGUGGGAUGCCAGGAACCAGGAGGAGUUUUGGGAUGCCCAGGGGAGGAUUUGAGGCUGACAUGGGUGGCAUGGGUGGGUGCAGAUGACAGAUUAGCCAGGAGAGAGGGCACACACUCAUCCUGAGAUGGGAAGGUGGAUGUGCCAGUGUCUGCAGCAGGGCUGUGCCGAGAGUCACCAGCUGAGGGCUGUAAAUCUCCAGGAAACUUCGGCACAGGGACAUUAGAACAAAGCUCUCCUUCCCUGCAUUGCCUGCCUUCAUUUACAACACGACUGGAAACCCUGAAUGUACCUGCUUACAGAGCGAGCGAGGAAAAAUCCAAAUGACACCGGGAUUUUGGUUUAACUUUCUCCAUUAUCUGGGUAAAUGCUGUUUGUGCCCCCCCAAAUGGCUCCCAGGAUCUCCUGAAGUUGGAGACACGAGCUCUGGGAGCUGCUGUCCAGCAUGUGGAGUGUCCUGGAGAGAUGGGUCACAACCAGCUCCGGAGUCCUCUCCUCUCUCCUUGGUGAGACUCAAACUUUUCCCUGACCUCAUCUUCCUGCCAGUGGAUUUACUAAUCCUUUGCCUGUGGAAAUGACAGAGUCCUGCUUCCCAGAUCCCAAGAGCUCCCUAAAAAAGAGGUGAGAGCAAACACAUGGAACAGCUCAGAAUAUGGAAUGAUGCAGCUCACAGGAGCCUCAGAACAUCCCCACCACCUGCAGCAGGAUCCAUCCUGUCUGAGAUGCUACCCAAGUUUUCUGCAUUUCAAACACCUUCUGCAAACUCUGGAAAUGGCAAAUCCCUGCUGACAAGCAGAAAGACAGUGGUAUUGCUCUCCUAAUGAUGCCACCUGGAACCUCCUGGCCACGGAUGGGGUGGAGAUUUGGGACCUUCUCUUCCCAAAAACCCCCUCCUGCCCCGACUGAACUCAAAUUUCUGAUCCAUGAGUUAUUCUGUGAGGCUUUAAGGCGGCCACGGAUCUGCCAGGAGAGAGCAGAGGGAUUUGAACAGGCUGUAUCUCAGAGCAGUGGUGCUGCUACUUAAUUAUGGUCACAUUUCAGUGAGAUUUAUGAAUCAUCUACAGGCCUUAGGGAAUUAUUUUUUUUUUUUCUCCAUCCAGAAAGCAGCAGCUGCGAAGGAAAGAAAAGUAAAUAUUCAGCACAGGAGCUGGACUGGGCCUGGAUUUUUUUUUUUUUUUUUGUGAAAAUCCAAAUGCUCUCUCUAAGGUCUCAGUGAGACUUUGAGCCAUGGUCAGCUGGACCACCAUGGGCUGAGCCCCUCGUUGCCUCAGUCUUUUGGAAGGUAAAGGAGAGAAGUGAAGAAAGCCCAGCAGUCCCCAAACUGUGUGAAUCAACCUGCUUGGGGCUGUGUUGUAAAAAAAUUAGAUUGGAGAUCUGGGCAUAAUAAAUGCAAGACAGUGUUGCCAGAAAAUUCAUAAAGCCUAUUUUUGAUGCCCACACCCUGCCCUCAAACCCCAAGGCACCCGUUAUCCACCAGCACUGCACGCAGAAAUGUUGGGUAAGUUUGGUUUGGUAAGAAUGGAACUGAACAUUUUGCUAUAAACCUUUUCUUUUCCUGGUCUCAUGGGACCUCAAUGUCAUUUUCUAUCUCUGAUGUGUCCUUUCCACCGCCUUGUCAGGACUCCAAGGAUCUCCAGGAUGCCCUGCAAGUCAAGCAUUCAUCUGACUCUUGGUGAUGAGCUCAACCUCAGCAAAUAUCCUGUGUCCUCUUUUCCUGAGGGAAGAGAAGGGAUCAGACCUUCACAUUCUGUCUGUUCUUUGCCCAACAUUUACUUCUGUUCCCAGCUCACAGCCUCCGAGCAGGAAAACGAAUGAUGUAACUGGGGCAUGGAUGGGCUCAGUUCAGAUGGAGGGGACACACAGAGCCUGGGUCCUUCCAGCUGAAUCCCCUCUCUCACGAUGGAAACUGGGAGGAAUAGAAGGAAAGAAAAAGCCAACAGUGAAAUAUCCCUUGAAAUAUUCUCCCAGCUGACAGCAAUUGCUGCCUCAGGGAUUUCUCAGCUCAGAGAUUAUAUAAAUGUUUCCAACAGCCCUUGAUGGACUUACCUGUCACUGAGGCCCUCAGUUGCUGUUCUAACCCCUACAGACUUCUGGCAGGUGCAAUAUCUCAUGGUGAUGAGCUCCACCACUCAAAAAUGUACCUCAUUUUGUUCAUUUUGAUAAUUGGGUUUGAUGUCAUUUUAUGAGAAACAGAGAACAGUCAUCCACUAUUCAUCUUGUCCCCAGCACUCCUGGUUUUAUAGAGCUCCAUUGUGUUCUUCCUCAGUCAUCUCUGUGUUCCAGGAAAGCGCCCCUUGAUUUAAUUAUCCUUUAGAUGGAAACUAUCCUGUAUCCAUUCUAGGUCCCUUCUAUCUUUCUAGAGCUGGACUAAUCAAAAGCAAACAGUGGUCAAAUUAAAUGUACAUCAUCAAUGUAUUCAGAGCUGCAAAGGUAUUUUCAAGGUCAUUCUCCAUCUCUUCCAUUCUCUGUCCCCAAAUUCCCUGAUAUAUUUUGCACCUCUGACUGCUAUCAAAUACUGAUCCAGUGUUUUCAUGUUGUAUCUCCUUUUGGUUUUUCCUUCUGCCUUUCCCUUUUGCCUUUCCCUGUCCUGUCUCAGAUAUGUAUCACAUACAUAUAUUUAUAUAUAUUUAUAAAUAUAUAUUUAUAUAUUUAAUUUUUUAUAUAAAAAGAUAUUUAUAUAUAUGUAUAUAUAUAUGUGUGUAUAUAUAUACACACAUAUAUACACACGUACACACAUAUAUAUAUGAUAUAUACGUAAGAAUCACAGAAUGGUUUGGGUUGGAAAGGACUUUAAAGACCUCCCUGGGACACCUUCCACUAAACCAGGUUACUCCAAGCCCCAUCCAGCCUGGCCUUGAACACUUCCAGGGAUGGGAAAUCCACGUCUUCUCUGGGCAACCUGUGCCAGGGUCUCACCAAUCUCACAGGGAAGAUUUUCUUCCUAAUAUCUAAUCUAAACCUACUCUCUAGAUGUGGCAGGUGCAACCCCUUCAUCCCUGAGAUUGUUCUGUCCUGACUUGCUUUUAUCACAAAUUCUUGCAUGUGGGAAAGAUUAUCCUUGUGAAAUUGCAAAAAAAGUCUUUGAGAAAUAACCACGAGUGGAUAAUUUUCAGGUGUUUCUUCCUCCCUCCCUCUCUCCCUCCCUCCCUCCCUUCCUCAGCCCCUACAGCCCUUGUUUUAAAAAUCAGACACAGCAACAAUUCACAGCAACAUUUUAGACAGGUUUGUGCAUGUAUUUGGUACAAACAAACAAAAAUAUGUGCAUUCUGUUCCAUAGAGCUUACACCGAUCUGACAGAACUCGGAACACAAAACAGAAAUACUCUGGCUAAUAAAUACGUCUGGGGAUGAAAAAUAAAAAUCUAUACAUAAAAAAUUCCAAUGUCUGCUAAAGAAAAUGUACACUUAUAUACACGCUGUAAACAAUAGUAAUGCAACCCAACUGCAGUCCAGCUCAGGCUGACAGGGACCUUCCUUCCCUCGUGGACUCAGGAGAGUCCAGUGACACCAAAACUCAUCAACAACUAGUUCCUUGAAGCAGCAAGGUCUGACAACGCAAUAGUGACAUGGAGCCAGUGCAAUGAGGUGAGAUCUGCUGCAAAAGCAAGGUGCAGGUGCUUUGGGGAACGGCCUGUGUGGCAAACUUGGAGAAACAGGGCCAUUCCCUCAGCUGGUCACACCCUUGUGGGUCCAGAGAAAUCCGUGGGAUCAGACCGAAUUUACCUCCUGAAGGUCUGAGCCCAUGUUUCCAAACUUGGGAGAGUUUGGAAAAGUAAGGGUUUCAAAGAGAAAUGCUCACUUUUACAGACUUGGGUCAUAUUUUACAUGACAUUGUUGUUCCUCCCCCUGCCAGCAAUGACAGCCCUGUCUGCUCCCAACAAAUCCCUCCAGGAGCAGUCCCAGAGUCCAGUCCUGGCACUGCUUCUGCUGCAAGAGGCCAAAUGAAAGAGAGGGUUCUGGGUUAGGUGAGAAACAAGUAUUUUGCCUGAAUGCAGCACAGUAGAGCUCAAAACUUCCCUACAGCACCUUCUAGGGCAUCUCUUGGGGCCAGAUCAAACUCAGUAAGUAACUGAGCCAGAGUUUGGGCAUUGACAUGUGUGUUCAUGUGUGCUUAAAUAUUUAUCCUUGUUUUCUCCCUUGUAGGUGUGUAAAGAAUUGGGAUGGAGAGGCAGCAAACCUCCAGACUAAUCUUUCUUUCCCUUCUAGAUGCUUUCAAGGGGCUGGAGGCUGUAAAUGUAAAUGUUUCAAAACUGGGGAAAAAAAAAAAAAGGAGUAGAUAAAAAAGUCAGGGAGAAGUGUAAGCAAUAAUACCAACUCAUUUAUGGGAAUGCUUGCCAACAUUUACUGAAUCUUCAUUUAUAGGAGGAUGUUGGCCCCUUUGUAGGAGAAUGCCUUGUAUUUUGGAGAUGACCCAUGUAUAUAAAUACAGUAAAGUGUGUACAUGUAUCUAUCUGGUCAUGGAUGCACUCAUGGACUGCCCCCUCCCUGGUCCCUUCUCUGCUAUAUCUCCAGUGCCUCCCAUCAGGAUCCCCAAAGCUCCCUGGAAACCAGUGGCACCUGCAGUCACACUGCAAAAUGACUUUUCAUGUCACCCCAUCAUCACUGCAGGGUUUCACUUCCCCAAAAAGCCAAAGAUAUGGGGGAAAAAAAGAUGUAUUUCCCCACAAAAAUUCCCACGGGGUGUUGGGUCCCUGCUUUUGUGGGGUUGAACCUCCCCAGCUGGAACCUCUGGGUGGUUUUGCAGAUGCUGGAGAACAUGAUGAGUCUGGUUUCAGUGUAAAUGCAAUGCUGCCCCAUGUGCCUUGGUGGGAUUUGCUGCUGGGAGGAAAAUAUUUGGACAAAAUCUCCUGGUAUUUGUGCAAUAAUUGGUCCAGUUUGGAGUCCUGCAUCAAGUAAAGGGUGCUAAGGGUGUUGAGAUGGGGCCAACUCCGGAUACCUUGUCUCAAUAUGCACUGCUCAAAAGACUAAAAAAUAAAAAAGUCCAACUUUC